GCGCUAGCUGACAGCCAAGUAGCGUGAAGGAUGAAGGCUCUAUGGGUCGUAAACUUCUUUUAUAUAAGAAUAAAGUGCAGUAUGUAUACUGUUUUGUAUGUAUUAUAUGAAUAAGGAUCGGCUAACUCCGUGCCAGCAGCCGCGGUAAUACGGAGGAUCCGAGCGUUAUCCGGAUUUAUUGGGUUUAAAGGGAGCGUAGGUGGACUGGUAAGUCAGUUGUGAAAGUUUGCGGCUCAACCGUAAAAUUGCAGUUGAUACUGUCAGUCUUGAGUACAGUAGAGGUGGGCGGAAUUCGUGGUGUAGCGGUGAAAUGCUUAGAUAUCACGAAGAACUCCGAUUGCGAAGGCAGCUCACUGGACUGCAACUGACACUGAUGCUCGAAAGUGUGGGUAUCAAACAGGAUUAGAUAC
rnacentral:rRNA from 1 species